GCUUACGGCCACACCGCCUGGUUCACGCCGAUCUCGUUUGAUCUCGGAAGCUAAAAUAGGUUGGGCCUGGUUAGUACUUGCAUGGAGACUGCCUGGGAAUCCAGGUGCUGUAAGCU
rnacentral:rRNA from 1 species